GAGGGUGUAGCUCAGUGGUAGAGCGCAUGCCUAGAAGGCACAAGGACCAGGUUCAAUCCUCAGCACCUCCU
rnacentral:tRNA from 1 species